GUAGGACCAAUAAUAAAUAUGAAAGAGAAACUAUUCAAAGAUAAAAGAUCAUACUUUACUCUCUAAAGUGAAAUUUAAACUUUAGAAGAUCCAAAUCUUUUGUAAUUAUAAUGCAAUUGAAAUACAGAUACUAAAACAUAAAUACACAUAGACACCGCCUCUCGCGUGCUCGAGCUCCGGCCCAAAAUCUGAAGUAAACCCUAACCUAAAGCGCAGCCUCUUUUUUCUCUCUUCUUCUUUGCGCAGCCCGCCUUUUCUCUCAACCAGCAAGCUCGUCGUCCCUCCAUCACUAUCAACCCAACCUCCGGCCUUCAAAGAACCACCACCGACCAACCCCUUCUUCUCCUUUUUUUUCUUUCCACUCCUCCCUUCGAGCCUACCUUCCCUUUCCCCUUUCUCGUUGUCCCUCUCUCUCAAUCGAGCGCCACCUCUCCGUUGAGCCUCCCACCGCCGCCGUCCAAGCCGCGGCCACCAACCUUUUCUUCUUCCUCUUCUUCUCCGUUCGGCCUCACCCUAGUCGCACAACCAUCUCCUUCGAACCACACCCUCACCGAAUAGAGCUCCGAAGCCCUAUCUCUCUCCCUCUCUCCCACUUCCAUCUUUGCCGCCCGCCACCUUCAGCCGCCGCGGCUGUCUUCUUCUCCUUCUUCUCUUCUUUUUUUUUUUUUGUUUUUCUGUGGCCCUAACUCAGCUCUUUCCUCCAACUUCAUUUCUUGCGAACUGAAUAGCGAAGCAGCCUUUAUUGUUUUCAAUUUCGACGAGCUUCGCCACUCCAACUACUACUCUUUGCCGAUUUUGGCUUUGGCAACAAAAUAGUGCCACUCCAAUCCUUUCCCUCUUAUAUUCUGUCAGUAUUCAUUAUUUUAAGUUAUUAAUCACAUUUUUUUUUGUAUUCAGUUGGUAUUAAUUUUAUGUUGAUUUUAGUUAGAUAGUCUAACUUAGUUAACUUUAACUUUUAAGUUGUUAAAUGAGGAUUGUUAAGAUAAUUAGUAUUAAAAUCCGAGUGACUGAAAAUGUUUGGAAUUUUUUAUUCUGAUGAAUGCUGAGACUAUUCAGUUAA
rnacentral:lncRNA from 1 species